GAUGAACGCUAGCGGCAGGCUUAAUACAUGCAAGUCGUGGGGCAGCAUGAAGUAGCAAUACUUUGAUGGCGACCGGCAAACGGGUGCGGAACACGUACACAACCUUCCUUUUAGUGGGGAAUAGCCCAGAGAAAUUUGGAUUAAUACCCCGUAACAUAGCGAUGUGGCAUCACAUUGCUAUUAUAGCUUCGGCGCUAGAUGAUGGGUGUGCGCAUGAUUAGAUAGUUGGCGAGGUAACGGCUCACCAAGUCUACGAUCAUUAGCUGAUGUGAGAGCAUGAUCAGCCACACGGGCACUGAGACACGGGCCCGACUCCUACGGGAGGCAGCAGUAAGGAAUAUUGGUCAAUGGACGAAAGUCUGAACCAGCCAUGCCGCGUGAAGGAUUAAGGUCCUCUGGAUUGUAAACUUCUUUUAUAUGGGACGAAAAAAGGUCUUUCUAGAUCACUUGACGGUACCAUAUGAAUAAGCACCGGCUAACUCCGUG
rnacentral:rRNA from 1 species